GCAUCAGUUCAAGUCGCUUAUGGAGUUUUAGAUAUAUGCAAUUGGAUUAGAGCACCAUGCUCUCACCUAAAAGUUUGAAAAACAAUUGCUUUCAGUUCUGGUAACAUAUAUUUUUGUUUCGGUUUUGCUAAUUCUUUCUCCAAUGGCCUUUAAAUAUUAUCUUUCAUAUGUCUUACUAUAUGAAAAAAAUGUUGCCUUCAGCAAGCAAUCUCGCUUAAUUUUCUGGUUAAAAAGACAGACAACGUGGAUUACUACCAUGGGAAUUCAAAGAAAUGCCAUAUAUCAAAACAGUACAAUUUGUGAGCUUCUUGCAGACUAAUGAUGAGUUACUAGAUAAACUAAGGGUCAUCUUUUGUGGGCUCGUGGCCGGAACACGAAGCUCAAGUUGUGGUCCAGUAUGUCAGAAAAAUUCAGCCACCCCGUGUCGAGGAACUUUGCCUCGACAGUACAACAUCACACUCUGUUGUCGGUCGCGAGAAGAGCUGCGUGCAGUCCACCCCGUGUCCGCCCUCGAUCCGUCUCAGUCAUCUCCCUCUCAUCCUCUCUCUCUCUCUGGUCUGUGUUUCUGUGUGCAGGGAGUGGGAGGAGAUAGAGCAGGGGAGUGGGAGGCCCUUCCAUGGCAAAUUCGUUGGCAUCUUCCAUGGAGAUUGCGACCUCUCUUGAUUUUUGCUUGAGGAUUUCUCCUCUGGAUCUGUCCACUGUAGUUCUUGUAUAGCGGUGUCCUUUUUUCUAGUGUUCCUCAAUGUUGAUGCAUGUGUUUAAUAACCCACUCAUACGAAUUCUAAAAACAAGCUUUAGUACAAGAAAAGUGGGUCGUUCAGUUCAAUUCUGAAUUAUAGGUGUGUGUAAACACAUCCUCCUUACGCAGUAACUAAUUAACUAUGAUACCAUGUUCAGACUUCUACAAAUCCCGAAACUAUGCAGAGUUAGGAUUGUUACUACCUUGUUUCUUACUAUUGAUUCAUUUUUAUACUAUAAUGAGAUGGUACAUGUAGUUGGACAUCUCAAUAUACUGGUGAUUGCUUCUUGCUGCCUCUAUUUUUAUCAUGAUUUGGUGUGUGCACUGCAGGAGUGUUUUUGUUCCUAGAUCAGUUGCUCAACGACAGAAUUGUGUAUCGCACAGUACAUGUAUUACUACUAUGAAGGUUCAGAAAUAAGAACUCAAAGAAGUAUUGACAGCAUAGCUACUGUAUAUUCAAGGAGCCAGGUUUUGCUCCUGCGUCAUCUCGUCUCCUCCGUUCAGCAAAAGCCUCUAGAUAAGUUCACACAUAUGGUUUUGUUCUUUCUAUAAUUCUUGAGUCCAGACUCCUUCACUUUUUGUUCCUGAGAAAUUAAAUAAACCUGUAGAAGUUUGGGGUAUAAAAUUAUGUCAGUUCGAAAUUGAGAAACUGGUAAGUGCAGACAAAAUUAAAACUGUCAAAGAACAUGAGAGUGUUUGUCAAAGAACUGAGGCUUCCCCACGAUAGUACAAACUUUUUAAAUGUUUGAAUUUUGUUACAGCAAAAACUGAAUGGGUGGCAAGAUGAAUAUAAUUAUUAUUAAAAGUUUCUUUUUGAACUUCUUGGGUUAAUAUACAUGAACUUGAUUAUCUUUUUAACCAGUUAAAUAUACAUGGUUGGCAAGAUGACUAUAGUUGUUGUAGCAAAAACAGUACAUUUUUUCAAGAAAAGUUUCUGUUUGAACUUCUCCGAUUAAUAUAGAUGAACUCAAUUAUCUUUUUAAUAUGCACUCACAUGAGCUCGUUUGGAUUUGUGUGUAUAUUUGUAACACAAUCAGUUGAGAUCUGGAGAGAUCAUAAGUUCAGUCGGCCUUGGCAUCACAAGCGGGUUCAAUUCGAUCUCACACAGUGGGCAGGUCCCCGAUGGUGUGUGCGUCAGGUCUACUCGCACGAGUGGACGUCAGAUCACGCAAGUGGGCAGGUCCCCAAUGCUCGAUCCAGGAGGUGCUAGCUCAUGCUGGCUGGAACUAGGAUGCAAAAGGGUUGACGGAUCCAUGCCGCACAAGCACUGCGCCAUGCUCAGUCCAACCCAGUGGCUUCAGGGUGGCCGAGUUCGUCACGACCAUCAGUUCGGAGACCUGCAUCACUGCUCGUGUCACUACCAUGGCCACCUGCAUCACAGCGUGAUCCAUCAACAGCCUCUUGCACAAGGAAAAGCAACAGGAGUAGAGGCGUCUGAGAUGCUCUGUCCUGGCGACUGUGAGAAAGGCAAGUGCUUAUGCGGCUUUUGCUGAAGAAGAAAGGCCUAGCUUAACUGGCGUAGCAGUACCCAAAUCAGGUGUCGAUGUUGUGGAGGCUUUGGAUCUUUCCCUAGUUGCUUGACUCCAAUAAUUAUGUCUUUUGAGAUUGUACCAUUUGGUCGUCCUUUGGUCUUGUAUCGAACUUCUAGUCAUCUUGUUACAUCAGUUCAAAAUCAUAGUAUGCGAAAACACCCUCAGUACAAACCCA